rnacentral:rRNA from 1 species
GAUAGUGGCGACGGGUGAGUAACACGUGGGCAAUCUGCCCUUCACUCUGGGACAAGCCCUGGAAACGGGGUCUAAUACCGGAUAACACUCUGUCCCGCAUGGGACGGGGUUAAAAGCUCCGGCGGUGAAGGAUGAGCCCGCGGCCUAUCAGCUUGUUGGUGGGGUGAUGGCCUACCAAGGCGACGACGGGUAGCCGGCCUGAGAGGGCGACCGGCCACACUGGGACUGAGACACGGCCCAGACUCCUACGGGAGGCAGCAGUGGGGAAUAUUGCACAAUGGGCGAAAGCCUGAUGCAGCGACGCCGCGUGAGGGAUGACGGCCUUCGGGUUGUAAACCUCUUUCAGCAGGGAAGAAGCGAAAGUGACGGUACCUGCAGAAGAAGCGCCGGCUAACUACGUGCCAGCAGCCGCGGUAAUACGUAGGGCGCAAGCGUUGUCCGGAAUUAUUGGGCGUAAAGAGCUCGUAGGCGGCUUGUCACGUCGGAUGUGAAAGCCCGGGGCUUAACCCCGGGUCUGCAUUCGAUACGGGCUAGCUAGAGUGUGGUAGGGGAGAUCGGAAUUCCUGGUGUAGCGGUGAAAUGCGCAGAUAUCAGGAGGAACACCGGUGGCGAAGGCGGAUCUCUGGGCCAUUACUGACGCUGAGGAGCGAAAGCGUGGGGAGCGAACAGGAUUAGAUACCCUGGUAGUCCACGCCGUAAACGUUGGGAACUAGGUGUUGGCGACAUUCCACGUCGUCGGUGCCGCAGCUAACGCAUUAAGUUCCCCGCCUGGGGAGUACGGCCGCAAGGCUAAACUCAAGGAAUUGACGGG